GCCGCUGUGGCGGAAUUGGUAGACGCGGCGGAUUUAAAAUCCGCUGAUCCUAGAUCGUCCGGGUUCGAGUCCCGGCGGCGGUA
rnacentral:tRNA from 1 species